rnacentral:rRNA from 1 species
GAUGAACGCUGGCGGCGUGCUUAACACAUGCAAGUCGAACGGGAAUUACUUUAUUGAAACUUCGGUCGAUUUAAUUUAAUUCUAGUGGCGGACGGGUGAGUAACGCGUGGGUAACCUGCCUUAUACAGGGGGAUAACAGUCAGAAAUGGCUGCUAAUACCGCAUAAGCGCACAGAGCUGCAUGGCUCAGUGUGAAAAACUCCGGUGGUAUAAGAUGGACCCGCGUUGGAUUAGCUAGUUGGUGGGGUAACGGCCCACCAAGGCGACGAUCCAUAGCCGGCCUGAGAGGGUGAACGGCCACAUUGGGACUGAGACACGGCCCAGACUCCUACGGGAGGCAGCAGUGGGGAAUAUUGCACAAUGGGGGAAACCCUGAUGCAGCGACGCCGCGUGAAGGAAGAAGUAUCUCGGUAUGUAAACUUCUAUCAGCAGGGAA